rfam:Ricinus communis ctg_1100012358147, whole genome shotgun sequence.
UUUGGGAGAUGAUGAGAAAAUUGAUACUAACCAUCAGAGGCAUCAGCUCUGCUGAAUAACUGUUUUGCACGUCAGUCUGAUCCCAUA